GUGCUGCUGUCCGGCGAGCCCCGGCUGUUUAUAUAAUAUUUCUAUCUCAGCUAUCUAUCUAUCCGCACGAGGCGGGAACUCGGCCUGCGGGCGCUGCGGCGCGGCCUGGUGUAUUUAAGAGACCUGUUCCGCACGGCAGUCAUUUAUCGAGGCAUCUGUCUCCAUUAAGGGCACGGAAUCUGUCUGCCAUUGCCUGCUGACAUCCAAAGCACACGGGAGAUGAGACUAAGGAGGAAACACGCCAACAUACAGGAAUGGAUUCUGCCCAAACCUGGGGUAGGAAAUGCCACCAAAGACAUCAGAACUUCAGUGUCUUAAUGUAGCAGGAAGAUGGAUUUGUUGCAUUCUGAAAAAGAAUUAUUCACAGAAUAGGAAGAGAAUGACCAAAAGAAAGACUGUGCUUUACUGUCUUGAAAACUGACUGAAAUAAAAUCUUUUUGUGCUUGACGAUGCACUAGCCAUAGCACAGUCUAUGGUUUGAUCUGUUGUACCAGGAUAUUGUGGAGCUGAUAUAUGUUGUCUAAAUUUAAUUUUUCCCUGUAGAAAGAAUAAAUGUAAGUUUGAUGACUCCUCUGUGCUUUAAACCAGCACUAAUCUUAGCCUUAAAUACUGCAGCUUAAGCUUAUAUGUGCUAUCCGCACAGGGAGAAACAUAUGUGGAUAUGAACAGUGCUUGGUUUAUUUAGAGAUCAGCUAACAGACGUAUCUAGGCUGGUUACUCUUAUAUGUUACCUACUGAAAAAAUAUCUAUGCUUUUUUUCUGGUGUUUGGAUAUUUGGCUUCAACCACUGAAAUGUUGUUAGCUGUUGUAUGCUCAAUUGCACUCAGAUGGCAUAACAAACAUUGAUUCCUGCUUGUACAUAUAACAUCAACUGUUUUGUAUUUCAAUAUAAUUUUUUCUUUUCUGACAGUAGCAUUCAAGCAAUUCGUUCUCAUGACCUGUGUUUGGCCUGCAAGCUAGCAGGAGGUGAGGUGGAAGACACCACCGCAGGUAUUUUGUUUAAAACAGUGUCCUUUUCAAUUUACGUCUGCAUGCACUGGAGUGGAAGAGUGAUUUCUAUUCUGCCCUGAAGAGGUGGAUCAAACCUGUUGCACAGGGACAUAAACUUCGCUCAGUUUUAUCAGUCUGACUCUAGCUUGAUCUUCACGGGACGUUCCUCUUCCCAGUAUGAAUGUAUUCAGGCGACUGGUACCUGAUGGAAGAGUUACUCGAAAUAACCAUCAUCAUUGUGAUCCAUUUAUAAUCGAAAUAUGAAAUCUAACCAUCUGUAGCCCAGCACACAUACCUUAGGAUUGUUUUUCAGGUGCUAAAUUCAUCCUUUCAUGAUAGAAAACCACGAUCUUCUGGGGCUGGAAUUCCUGCAGGCUGCUUCAGUUCCAUAUGAAGUUAGUUAUUUUGCAUUGAUGAGCUACUUAGUUCUUGAUGUGAUUGUUUUAUGUAUGAGGCAGCAGGAAGAGUACUCAUUCCUCACCUGAGGGGUUUCCCUCCUGUAUUCCUCAAAUGCUUCUUGUCAUCACGGAAAGGCACUUACACAAGAUCUCCAAGUAGAAACUUUUGUGGAAACUACAGUUUCUUACCAGCUGCAACAAAAAAGCAUUACUAAUCUUCACUUUUCUAGUUUAAGGAAGGAAAGCACAGCUCCACUAAGUGGCAGCACUAGGCAUCAUUACUGCCAGCUUUGCUGAAUUAUUUUUGUAUUUGUGAGAUUUAAUAUCAACUGCAGCUCAUGUUGCAAUAAUCAUGCCUCUUUCUUUGCUCACAGGGUUUGAUUUCAUAAUUUCCAGGACAGAUGAAUAAAUUUGUGUUCAGAGAA